GCAGUAGAACGCUGAAGAGAGGAGCUUGCUCUUCUUGGAUGAGUUGCGAACGGGUGAGUAACGCGUAGGUAACCUGCCUUGUAGCGGGGGAUAACUAUUGGAAACGAUAGCUAAUACCGCAUAACAAUGGAUGACUCAUGUCAUUUAUUUGAAAGGGGCAAAUGCUCCACUACAAGAUGGACCUGCGUUGUAUUAGCUAGUAGGUGAGGUAACGGCUCACCUAGGCGACGAUACAUAGCCGACCUGAGAGGGUGAUCGGCCACACUGGGACUGAGACACGGCCCAGACUCCUACGGGAGGCAGCAGUAGGGAAUCUUCGGCAAUGGGGGCAACCCUGACCGAGCAACGCCGCGUGAGUGAAGAAGGUUUUCGGAUCGUAAAGCUCUGUUGUAAGUCAAGAACGAGUGUGAGAGUGGAAAGUUCACACUGUGACGGUAGCUUACCAGAAAGGGACGGCUAACUACGUGCCAGCAGCCGCGGUAAUACGUAGGUCCCGAGCGUUGUCCGGAUUUAUUGGGCGUAAAGCGAGCGCAGGCGGUUUGAUAAGUCUGAAGUUAAAGGCUGUGGCUCAACCAUAGUUCGCUUUGGAAACUGUCAAACUUGAGUGCAGAAGGGGAGAGUGGAAUUCCAUGUGUAGCGGUGAAAUGCGUAGAUAUAUGGAGGAACACCGGUGGCGAAAGCGGCUCUCUGGUCUGUAACUGACGCUGAGGCUCGAAAGCGUGGGGAGCGAACAGGAUUAGAUACCCUGGUAGUCCACGCCGUAAACGAUGAGUGCUAGGUGUUGGAUCCUUUCCGGGAUUCAGUGCCGCAGCUAACGCAUUAAGCACUCCGCCUGGGGAGUACGACCGC
rnacentral:rRNA from 1 species